UUCCAAAGAGACUGACAGAAUUCCAACACCUAAAGUGAUAAUUGAUCAAGACUCAAACCCAGAUGCAACCAUCGUCGAGGUAGCCUUUGGCGAUCGCCUUGGAGCACUACUUGACACUGUCUUUGAUCCGGUUCCCUGGAUUGUUCCACAUAUCCUAUGAUU